UACGAAGGGGGCUAGCGUUGUUCGGAAUUACUGGGCGUAAAGGGCGCGUAGGCGGCCUCUGCAAGUCGACUGUGAAAUCUCCGGGCUUAACUCGGAACGGUCAACUGAUACUGUUUUGCUAGAGUACAGAAGGGGCAAUCGGAAUUCUUGGUGUAGCGGUGAAAUGCGUAGAUAUCAAGAGGAACACCUGAGGUGAAGACGGGUUGCUGGGCUGAUACUGACGCUGAGGCGCGAAAGCUAGGGUAGCAAACGGG
rnacentral:rRNA from 1 species